rnacentral:rRNA from 1 species
UACAGAGGGUGCGAGCGUGUUCGGAAUUAUUGGGCGUAAAGCGCGUGUAGGCGGCUUUGCAAGUCGGGUGUGAAAGCCCUCAGCUCAACUGAGGAAGUGCGCCCGAAACUGCAGAGCUUGAGUUCCGGAGAGGAUGGCGGAAUUCCCGAAGUAGAGGUGAAAUUCGUAGAUAUCGGGAGGAACACCGGUGGCGAAGGCGGCCAUCUGGACGGAUACGUGACGCUGAGACGCGAAAGCGUGGGGAGCAAACAGG